AGCGAACGCUGGCGGCAGGCCUAACACAUGCAAGUCGAACGAACCUUUCGGGGUUAGUGGCGGACGGGUGAGUAACACGUGGGAACGUGCCUUUAGGUUCGGAAUAACUCAGGGAAACUUGUGCUAAUACCGAAUGUGCCCUUCCGGGGAAAGAUUAAUCGCCUUUAGAGCGGCCCGCGUCUGAUUAGCUAGUUGGUUGAGGUAAUGGCUCACCAAGGUGACGUUCAGUAGCUGGUCUGAGAGGAUGAUCAGCCACAUUGGGACUGAGACACGGCCCAAACUCCUACGGGAGGCAGCAGUGGGGAAUCUUGCGCAAUGGGCGAAAGCCUGACGCAGCCAUGCCGCGUGAAUGAUGAAGGUCUUAGGAUUGUAAAAUUCUUUCACCGGGGACGAUAAUGACGGUACCCGGAGAAGAAGCCCCGGCUAACUUCGUG
rnacentral:rRNA from 1 species